UCUGUGCCCUGGCCAGACCAUCUCUGAAGAGUGAGUUCAUCCAGUCUGGAUUUGCCCUGCUCUCCCUGCAGCCCAGAGGUUCUCCCUAAUGGGGCGAGAGAAAACUGUGUUUGGACGCACAUCGCCCUGGUGAAGAGCAGUGAGGCUCUUCACUUCCUGGCUCUGGAUUUCAGCAAGUCCCUGCAUUUCUCUAAGCCUCAGUUUCUAGAUCUGGAAAGUGGGGAUAGUGCUGCACCAGCCCAGAGGGCCGUUGGGAGGACUGGCCCCAACCCGGCACAGAAUACCCAGGAUACCCAGGAAUCCUGCCACGGUAGCCAGCUGCCCUCAAAGGCAGGGCUGAGGAGGAGCAGAGUGCUUUGCCUUUGCACCUGGGUCUGCAGGGGGGAGGUGGGGGGACACAGGUUCCCCCUGAGGGCUGAGCCUGGCCUUUGGGGGCCGCUACCCUGGAGGAGGUGGCAUGUGCCGGCGAUUCUGUCCCAAAGCCUUCCUCCCAGCCGCCACAUAUUCCGAACGGUGCUGCUUUGCCUGGGCCCAGGCAGCCAGAGCAGCGGAGCCAGCCCUGGGGGAGAAGAGGUUGUGAGAAGGAUUUGGGCUGAAAAAAAGGCUGGAGAGAUUUUCCUCCGGCUGUUCAUCCAGGAGCCCCAGAGCCGGGAGCUUUUAAUGUGUUUGUUGUAAAACUGUCAGCUGGGAAGUCACAACACGGCUCACGGAGACAGGAGGCUGAGUGUGACUCAGGCAUCAGGAGAGGGAAGGACACGCAUGGAGCAAGGCAACUUGGCAAGGAAACCCACAACCCCCGAGCCACAGCAAGAGGCCUAGAAUCCAGGACUCCAUGGUGCAUGGCCACCUCUCCUUUUUAUUCGCAACAGCAAAACAUGGAAUCCACCUAAAUGCCCAUUGACAGAUGACUGAAUAAAAAAGCUGUGUCGCGUAUACUCAGUGGAAUACUAUGCUGCUGCUGGGAAGAUGGAAACGUGCCAUUUGGGACAAAAUGGAUGGAGCUGGAGGUGACUGGAGGAGAAGGAAAAGGGACUUGGAGGCAGCGCCAGGCUCUCUGGGUGGCAGGAGUGACGAGACUAGAGACAGACGGAAGUAUGAAUCCAAGCCUCUGAUGCUGUGCAAUACUGUCAACUCACGGCCACUGAUCAUGGCCUCCCUGCUGGAGGAUGAGGUCACUUUCAAUGUCCCAGCUACCAGCCAAGUCCUUCUCCGGAUACCACGAGGCUCCCCCGGGCCCACGAGCCCCAGCACACCCAGGAGCGGGGCAAAGUGACAUCAGCGAGCCCCGUGCAGAGCCGCAGAAGCGCCGGAUGACCUGCAGACGGUGGUGGUGGUGGAGAAGCCAGCACUGGGGUUGCUGGACCAAGUCAGUGAACGCACAAGCCCUGCACCUAGAAGAACUCUGCCCGGGGGAGCCUGCUCGUGGGGCUGAGGUCUGAAGUCAGACAGAUCCGAGGCUGACCCCUGGCUCCAGGAGCACCGACGAGGACAGGACGUCUCCUGCUGAGCCCACACGACUAGCUCUUGGAGCCUCCAUGAAAGGGGCUGCAAGCUCUCGGGCUCCGGGUUGCACCCGACCUCACCCUUGGCCUUGUUCCACCUGAGAGGAGCCCGUAACAGCGGCGUCAAGGUCCCCGGCACCCCCAAGAAGCCUGCAGUCACCUGAGGGGUUGGAGGGAGCAUCAAAAUCAUCCGAGACUUGCAUCCACCUCUACCCGGUUGCCCUCAUGUAAUCUAGGCACAAGACUGUUUCCUCACACAGUCCCCCGCGGCUGCCAUGGCAACACAGGAGUUGGCUCACCAUCUGCUGCCUGACUUGAGGGACCUCGAGUCAGGCUUUCACAGUGUCGGAAUUAGUGUGGGGGUACCCGGCCUGCUUCGGGGGAGCCGUUGGCCACAUCUGGUUCCUCUCUGCCCUGCAGUGUUUGGAGCAGAUGCAGCCUCAACUCCCCGAUGACACUGAGGAAGGUAAACAUGGCUUUAUUCACAGCUACGGAGCACCCUUUCUGAUAAAGCAGAUCAUUUCCUCAGCACAUCAACUUGGAAGUUGCAAGUCGGAAACUACUUGGCAUGAUGUAAGAAACUGGAAAGCAAGCUGUCUGCGGAAACCUGUUGGAAAAUGUUAACCGAGUUCGAGAGCUUUGGGCAGGGGAUUUGCAUUAGAAUCCCAGUGGGGCAGGACACUGGGUGAUUACCCUGUUCUCUGUAGGUGAGAACGCUAACUCAGGGAUCCUUCUGGGACCACCCACCCCUCCCUCUUACAUCUAUGGUCAGGCAACUCAGACUCUAUCUGGUGUUGUAAGGUGUGUAAGUUGCCCCCAAUAUUCACGGUCCAGCUCAAGACGGCAUUUCCCAGCCUUCUCUGCAGCUAAUCUGUGACUGAGAUCUAGCCAAUGUGAUGUAAAUAAAAGUGACCUAGGUAAUUUCCGGAUUGUGCCCUUUAAAGGACAGUUGUUUGUAUGGCUGAAACCUAAUCAUGAACAGCUUUGCAUGGGUCUAUCUCACCGGAUUCAAUUAAAAAAAAAUCUUAAAAUAAAAAAAAAAGAGGGGCUGGAGCAAUAGCACAGCGGGUAGCGCAUUUGACCCGGGUUCGAUUCCCAGCAUCCCAUAUGGUCCCCUGAGCACCGCCAGGAGUUAAUACCUGAAUGCAUGAGCCAGGAGUAACCCCUGUGCAUCGCCGGGUGUGACCCAAAAAGCCAAAAAAGUAAAUAAAUAAAAAUAAAUUUAAAAAAAGAGACAGUUGUGGAGCUUUUUUUCCCCGUCCAAACAGGUAAGUUACUUGUGCUAAAUUUAUCCAACAUUGCAUGGUUCCCGGGGGUGGAGGAAUAGUACAGCAGGUAGGGCACUUGCCUUGCAUGUGACCGACCUGUGUUUGAUCCCCAGAGUACCGUAUGGUCUCCUGAGCACUGACAGA